GUGCUCACUUUGGCAGUUCAUGUACUAAAUUUGGAACAAUGCAGAGAAGAUUAGCAUGGCUCCUAUGAAAUACUGGCAUGUAAAUUUGCAAAGCAUUUCACACUAAC
ensembl:snRNA U6 U6 spliceosomal RNA